GUAGGCAAGAACACUGCAAAGUUGUCAGUUAAGCUGUUGCCAAGAACGUAGCAUCGCAGUAAAAGAUUAAUGAACAUUAUUCCUUCAGCACAUUAUAUCAGGAAUUCAACGUUCUGAAUACUUUGAAAUAAUGGUCCGUAUUGGAACGUUAUUCCGAACAAUUUUUCACUUGGUUUUUUCGAAACAGAUUCGUAAUCAACUUGAAACUUGAAUCAACUUGGUGGUAGUGAAAUUUCAUGAAUGGUUUAUUACAAGUGAAUGAAAAAUAACUAUAAGCUGAAGGCUGCAAAGAUUUAAUCAAAAAUAAUUGCUGGCUCAUCGAUAAACGUGGGCUUAUCGUAUUCCAUUAUUUAUUCCUCGUUAUAUCAACUGUUUAUUUCCUGACAAUUUAGCGACAGAUUUAAUCCCACCUGCUGAUCAUUAAUGAUAAAUCUUUCUUAUGAACACAGCACCGCCCGAUGAUAUUUCACAAAUAAAUGUUAAAAUUUCAUAACGAAAUUUAUUGGCUGGAAGCUAUUAUCUCGGAGUCCAGUCCAGUAUUUCAUAUUCCAUGUACUAGGACUAUUUUGCACUUGCCUCGAGUAACUUACUACCAUGUUCGCAUAUGCAACGACUCUAACAAAUAUCAUUGGGUGACUGCGAAGUCAAGCACGGCAAUCAAUUACCCGCAUUCAUUUGAUUUCAUUACUCGAACACUAGACUCGAUGCAGCGACAUGCAGAGCGUUGGAUUGCGCAACACUUGCCCUUGUCAACAAAGCGCGUUGACGCGGCGUAGCUUGUUAUAAAACGCGCACGCUUGACGAUACCGAACACUAAACGAACGACAUCGCUCCAAGCAACUCUACGCAAUGGCCUCCUUCUUGAACCUGAGUCUGAUUGCCCUGGCGGUGAUGAUGAUGGCGGCUGGCGCCAUUGCUGAUCCUGAUCCUAAACCUUUCCCUGCGCCUGGCAAAGGCAAAGGCGGGGGCAAAGGAAAGGGCAAAGGACACUGAAGAAAGGAUUGCGAACUGGCUUGAAAAAAUUGGACGUCGAUUAGAUUAGCAAAUUCUAUUUUUUUUUAUCAACGAAAAAUUAAACUUAGUGCGAAAUUAAU